CUUCCAACCCUAAUCUUCUAUGAUUCUAUGAUUUAUCAUUUAGUUUCAAUACCCAGUGUCAAUAGAAUCAUCUGUGAUCAAGUGGAUGAAUGGAACUAAACGUUUGUGUGGUGUGGCAUAAACCCCACACUGGGCAACAAGAGGUUAAAGAGCUGCUCUAGGCUCAGUCAGCCCUGCCCUGCCACACAUGCACAGCCUGGAGAAGGCAAUAAAAGGGAAGCAGAACAGUGACGAGGACAGACCUUCAACCCACAGCUCCAGAGGGAAGAAACUUGGAAGUAACCUGACUGGAUGCCAAUUCACAGGAAGAGGCAGGCCACCACAGAGGCAGAGCACCUGGCAGCUGCAGCCCCUAGCAGACACACAACUGCCAUGCCAGGCCUGGCCCAGAGGCAUAAGUGAAUGGAUGGAAGCAAAAAAGGCUGAAGCUGAAGACCAAACAAGUGACGAGAUUUGCUUGUCGUGGAGUCCCACCACAAGAUAGAGCCUGUCACUAAUGUAUAUGUUUGGCGGACACAGUCACUUUCAUGAGGCUAGAGGGUUGGUUUAUGGUUGUUCUUUAUGUAAGUUAUCCAAGGAUCAUCUUCAUAUUUUGUCUUUUAGCCAAUGUGUUUCACUAAAUCAUCACAAAGUGACUCUGCCAAGGAAAUAAUCAGCCGUACAUGAACUAAGGCAGCCGUCCAGACUUCACGCAGAUUUAGCAGGGGAAGUUGGUGAGCUACCAGUAUGAAUAUUAGUUAGUUUAAUGAUUCAUGUGUCGUCAAAGUUCACAUUGCAAAUCACAUGGAAAUAUCACUGUAAGCAAUAUUUUAAGACAAGGGAACAAGAACCACAUGUUAGUGUUACCAAGCCCAAUGCAGUUUAAAAAGGCUGUGUUAAACAGAGCUGUGUAAAACUCAGCCAUUAUGAUUUGAAGUGGAGACACUCCCACUGUAGUUCACAUGCAGGCAGACUUUUAGAAGUGCUCACUUAUUUUGUGUGCUGGGAGGGGAUCAGUUGGGCCAUUAAUGAUAUUGGAUCUUAAAAUCAUAUAAUUUGUAUCACUUUCUAGCUUUCUUUGUCUACGUCUGUUCUGACAUAAUUUUGGGGCCAAUCUCAAGAACCACUGGAGAUAGAGAUUUAUGCUAUAUGCCAUUUGAACACAAGGGGUCCAAGUUCUGAGGUGGCAUAUGGCACUGAAUUCAUGCUCUAAUGGUUUGGAAGGCAGAGAACAUUGAAAUCACUGGCCAUUUAGAGAGUUGAAACUCCGCUUGGAAACAGUGCUCAAAGCUUAGAGCUGACACAGCUGAAGAUUCACGAAUGCCUAGUGAGCUUUCCCUAAUCAUGCUUGGAGGCAGAAACAUCUGUUUUUCAGGAUCUGUACAGCUGACUGAUCCAUACAUUUGAUGGAACAGUUCCCUUUCUUCUGUGGCCAUUUAAAUCCCGGAGACCCUUCACACAUACCUCCACCACUGGACUUCCUUUCCUGAGAGUAUACCAUAAUGGUUUGGCUGAUUUCUUCUAAUCUCAUUUUCACUGGUGAUUUUUGAAAUACAUAUGUCUACUCUGAGAGGACUGAGAUGACAUUCAUCUGCAUUCCUUUGCCCAUUGUAUUUAGACUAUCUCUUUCAUGAUACAUAUAAAUGUAUAUUCCCCAUUAUGAUGAUAUCUUAUUAGUCAAGAUAUCUUCAUUAUGUACUGCUGUCAGCUAGGCAAGUCUUUAUCUUCAUGUUAAAUGAAUUAAUGUUCCUGAAUAACCUACAGCUUCCUUUUUCUUGACCAACUGGUUGUUCUACAGAUGAUUUGAAAGAAUAGGAAAUUUGUGUGCAACUGCCCACAAAUUCCACUCAUCCUAGGCUCUCAGAGUGCUAUCUGCCCUUUCUGUACAUUUUCUUUCCUUGCAUGUAUAGAAUAGAUUUCUGGAACAGAAGUGCACUAGGCGUGCUCUGUGUACUAUGUAACUAGAUACAUAGAUGGAAUGUAAAACCGGCAUCAAAGCACUCCCUGAUCUCAUCGAAAUAAACAUUUACAGCUUUUCUGACCUUUUCGUGUGGAUCAUGUC